rnacentral:rRNA from 1 species
CCUACGGGAGGCAGCAGUGGGGAAUCUUCCGCAAUGGGCGAAAGCCUGACGGAGCGACGCCGCGUGAGCGAGGAAGGCCUUCGGGUCGUAAAGCUCUGUUCUGGGGGAAGGAGGGAGUGACGGUACCCCAGGAGGAAGCCCCGGCUAACUACGUGCCAGCAGCCGCGGUAAU